CAUGCCCCGCGCUGUCGGCCGCCUCCUGCCUCCCACCUCCUGCCCCGGAAGCCUGCCCCGCCCGCCCCGCCUCACUACGCGUUGUCGGCCACCUACCCUCCCACUGGAGCUGACCCCAACGACCCACGCGCUCCCGAGACCCGGCGCCCCCAUCCAUCUACCUCCUCACCGCGUCGCGCCGCCGCUCCACAAAACUCCCGCCGAACCACACCUCCUAUCCCCUAGCUACCCCUCCCACCUCCAGAACUCUCGCCACGAGCUGUAUCCGGCGGCCGCCACCCCUCAUCGCCCUUGGCUAGGCUUCCCUCAAUCUCCGAUGGUCCCACCGCCCCCAGCGCUCCUCCCGGCGGCGGAUCUGGGCCAGCAACUAAUCCCUCCUCCCCCGCGACUGAUUGCCUCCAGUACCCUCCCCUAUUUUCUCUAUAUCGCCAACCAUGGCGCCCAUGGCGACCACGAGGCUGGAAGGGGUCUCGUGGACCCGAGAUUGCGAGAGGAGCAGCAGUGCCGGCGGUGACGCCCCAGGAAGACCGUAGUGUGGUGCUCUGCUCUAUGGAUUCUUCUACCAUGGAGUUCAUAGUUUUUGCAUUUUUGUUUCAUAUUUUUUAUGUGCAAAAAUACAAUUCAGUGCAGUUCUUUCUUCUCUUUGAGUUUUGGUUCUCUGGAUGAUGUUUGCAUCCAGGUUGUAAAAAUUUGCCUGCGUCAAGUGCAAUUCAGAACUUACAAGUUCGGCUAUCAGUUUCCUCUGCAGUUCAUUAUAGUAGAAUUUUUCUGUGUUGAAUUCAGUUAUCUUUGCUUUGCUCUAGGUCGUGAGGCUACAAUCCCGCUAUCUCCUGCUUACUGGCGUCUCCCCGGUCGAUCCAGGUAGUUGGGUGGGGAUUGGGUGUGUCACCGGGCAUCUGGGUGACGACUUCCCGCCGUGAGCUAGUGCUCUGCUCCUCGCCGCUGGUGGUCGUGCUACAACAACGUGCAGUUCGCCGGGCUGUGUCGUGCGGUUCGCCGGGCCGUGGACUGUGGUUUACCGGCUUGCAGCCUGCGGUUCACCGGGCAGUGCGUGUUUUGCUUUGGCUAGGAAUUGGCUCACCAGAUCACUUCCUCAACAAGAGCUAGCUAGACGUGCAUGACUUUCAUGCGUUUAUGUUUUGGGCAGCAGAAUUAAUGACCACUCACAAAGGACUAGCCAUCAAGGUGUUUUUCUGCGCAUAUGUCGUUCAAGUGGAAGAUGGGGCACUGUGCCUUUUCCAACUCCUUCCGACCUACUGAUCAAGUCAAGAGAAUAAGAGCUGUGGAGAUUACAUUUUCUUGCUGAACUUUUCGGUCAAUGCCUAAUAUGUGUGCUUUUCUUCCUAAUGGUGUCAUGCUUCGAUUUGAUUUCUUACAUGAGGAAGUGAAUAGCAGUGAUUAUUGCACAUGCUUAUACAUUCAAAUGGAUUGCUAGGUUAAAUGGUAUAGCGUUCAAAGAUCUUAGUUUUCUGAACGGUCUAAUAAUUAUUCAGUUUACUAAACUGCUGAACUACUUCUUUGGGUCUGAAUUUGCUGAAUUAUCAAACGGUAUAAGAAUUAUUCAGUUUAAUAAAUUGCUAAACUGCUUCUUUGGGUCUGAAUUUGCUGAAUUGUCGAACGGCCUAAGAAUUAUUCAGUUUACUAAACUGCUAAACUGCUUCUUUCGGUCUGAAUUUUCUAAAUUGCUUCUUUGUCUCUAAAUUGCUAGGUACCCUAUAAUAUAUUGAAGCACGGAAACUCCAAGCUCUUCCAGGAUGUUUUUGAGGAAUUGCACAUUACUACUAGCAAGAUUGAUGAUGAUCUUAUGUUGUAGUCCAAUAGGUAUUCCAAUGAAAUUAAGAAAGACAUCCUUAGAGGCUGGAGCACUUCAUUUGUGUGUAGAAAGUGUUUCAGGCCAGUGUAAGCCUGUUGUAGUCCCUGUAAUACAAAGGUAGUAAGUGACGCAUCGCCCUCUCCGAACUGAAUAACUGUGGCGUCAAUGAGACGCUUCGACCCAUGCUGGCCGUCGUUCCCCACCACUGAGAUGAAGAAGGAACGACUGGCUUAUCAUUCACUUAAGCAUCCAGAGCUUCGGCGCCCAACUAUUGAAGAAGGCUCAUACUGAUGGAGUUGUCCCAAACAAGGCACAUACCUGGCCCUUUCCGCUCCUAGAGUCCUUGCAUGCCUUUGAAGCAUGUAAUCUUAGUCGUUGGACAUUUUAUAUGGUUGAUUCUAAAUUCGUGUGGUGGUUGCAGAAUGUCAUAGCGCAUGUGUUGCCGUUGUCUCCCUCAAUAAGUCCCUCGCUGGUGGUUACACACACGCGCCCACGAACUGCUCGGCCAGGGGAGAAAACAGAGCAGUGGUGUUCGGUUAGAAUAGAGGAGGACACACGGUUAGGUUUCAGGAACCAAUGCCUUCAUAUUUUUUUCUCUUUCAACUGAGUGCUGGCUAAGUAAGCACAACCCUCUUAUUACAAUGUUAGAUCAACUCAACACAAGCAAUAACAGCUUGAAAUGAGCUAGGUUGGCCAAGUCUAGACAUUAUGGAUUUGGUAAUGUAUAUAUAUUGGAAAAUGAUAGCAUGGUCUUUA